ACCAUCAACAUCCCUGGGAUAUUUUGCCCGCCACUCAACACUAGAAGAGCUCAAGUCUUGCAGCAGGUUGGACUUAUCUGGCACCAGUCUUGAUCUGGCCCAUUCAGAUCUUGUCCGCUAUCGUUGCAGUAAGAGAAAAAUUGUGUGUGCACAUCCAGUGCAUUUGCAGAUUUGCGUGCUUCUCUUGCGACCGCAUACACUUGGUACAUGGUGUGUGUGUGUGUGUGCGUGCGCAUGCGGUGAGCACGCACGGUGCGCGGGUUCAAGAUUGUGUUGGUGUGUGCAUGCGGGCGAGUAUAUUCACAUGCUGAUGCUGGUUCUACACAUAUCAUUGUGUUGAGAGUUGGCAGGCGGUGCGAUACAUAUUUUCCAAGGCAUUGGCAUGCCUUUUAAAUUCUCUCGCACAGAUUUUGACCGUGCUCUCAUUUAGGCUCAUGCUGUUCCUCACAGGUACAAUGUGUGCUUGAUACUAAACACACUUUUAAUCAUGAUUUUGGGAUGCUGAAACUCUAAUACUACUACUAGUAUGUUGUCACUUUUGUAAGAUCUCUUACACGCUAUUCUAUAACAUUUAGUGCCCAAGCUUUUCUUGAACCCCUAAAAAUAGGCCUGAUUACAAAAAUAUAAUAUAUGUCUCAUUUCUUUAUCCACAUUCCGAACAUUCAUUAUUAAACAUACCAUAAAAGCUGUAUAGCAUGUCAUUUUAGUAGGGGUGAAACAAUUUUACCGAAUACUCGAGUACUAGCACUCGCUCGGUUUUUUCAUAAAUAAUCGUACUUGGAAUAAAUCAGAGCACUCGUUCAAUUAUGGUACAUGCAUUUACCACAGAAAUCUGCAGUUUCAGAGCAGCAGUCGG